UCUGAGGGUCCAGGGUUCAAGUC
rnacentral:piRNA from 1 species